rnacentral:rRNA from 1 species
GACGAACGCUGGCGGCGUGCCUAAUACAUGCAAGUUGAGCGCUGAAGGCUGGUACUUGUACCAACUGGAUGAGCAGCGAACGGGUGAGUAACGCGUGGGGAAUCUGCCUUUGAGCGGGGGACAACAUUUGGAAACGAAUGCUAAUACCGCAUAAAAACUUUAAACACAAGUUUUAAGUUUGAAAGAUGCAAUUGCAUCACUCAAAGAUGAUCCCGCGUUGUAUUAGCUAGUUGGUGAGGUAAAGGCUCACCAAGGCGAUGAUACAUAGCCGACCUGAGAGGGUGAUCGGCCACAUUGAGACUGAGACACGGCCCAAACUCCUACGGGAGGCAGCAGUAGGGAAUCUUCGGCAAUAGACGAAAGUCUGACCGAGCAACGCCGCGUGAGUGAAGAAGGUUUUCGGAUCGUAAAACUCGGUUGGUAGAGAAGAACGUUGGUGAGAGUGGAAAGCUCAUCAAGUGACGGUAACUACCCAGAAAGGGACGGCUAACUACGUG